CAGGUCCGUUGAUAAGAUCAACUACUUUCUCAUUUUAACAGCCUAUUUUCCUUCUGCUAAAAGGGGUCUCUCUAGAAUGUCUAGAAUGCUUUAAAAUCAUUAACUGGCAGUCACGAUUUAAGUUUGCAAACGCGGGUUCCGGGUUUGAGUGAAAUUUAAGAAGCAUGUAUGCCAGGCCAGUUCCACACGUGAGAAGGUGGGACUUUAUGGGACACGGGUGACUGUGGUGUGGUAAUUGUCUGACAGUCUCUUACGUAUUAGCACGAAUCCUAAAUCGUUGACAUUAAAAAAAAUCCACUAUCACCUGUCGGGCGAGGCAUUUUUACUAUGAAGCCUUGUUAAAAUUUCUCUCUAGGAGCACGUGGGUGGCUCAGUCAGGCAUCCCACUCUGGCCCAGGUCAUGAUCUCGCGCUCACGGGCUUGAGCCCCACGUCGGGCUCCGGAACCUGCUUCAGAUUCUGUCUCUGUCUCUCUCUGCCCCUCCCCUCUUUGCGCUCAGUCUUCGAAAUAUAAACAUUGUAAAAAAUCUUUUUUUCUUUUUUUUUAACAUUGUAAAAAAUCUUAAAAGAGAAGUUUCUUUCUAGACAUUUCUCGUU